UAAGCGGAGGAAAAGAACUAACAAGGAUUCCCCUAGUAACUGCGAGUGANGCGGGAAAAGCUCAAAUUNNAAAUCUGGUGGUCUUUGGCCAUCCGAGUUGUAAUCUAGAGAAGCGUCUUNCGCGCUGGACCGUGCACAAGUCUCCUGGAACGGAGCGUCGUAGAGGGUGAGAAUCCCGUCUUUGGCAUGGACACACCAGGGCUUUUGUGAUGCGCUCUCGAAGAGUCGAGUUGUUUGGGAAUGCAGCUCAAAAUGGGUGGUGAACUCCAUCUAAAGCUAAAUAUUGGCGAGAGACCGAUAGCGAACAAGUACCGUGAGGGAAAGAUGAAAAGCACUUUGGAAAGAGAGUGAAACAGUACGUGAAAUUGUUGAAAGGGAAACGCUUGAAGUCAGUCGCGUCGACCGAGACUCAGCCUCGCCUCGGCUUGGUGUACUUCUCGGCCCGACGGGUCAGCAUCAAUUUCGCCUCUUGGAUAAUGGCGAGGGAAACGUGACACCUUUACGGUGUGUUAUAGUCUCUCGCCGCAUGCAAGGGUCGGGAUUGAGGAACUCAGCACGCGCCUUUGGGCGUCGGGGCUUUGCCUACGAUACGUGCUUAGGAUGUUGGCGUAAUGGCUUUAAACGACC
rnacentral:rRNA from 1 species